GACGAACGCUGGCGGCGUGCUUAACACAUGCAAGUCGAACGGAAAGGCCCUGCUUUUGUGGGGUGCUCGAGGGCGAACGGGUGAGUAACCCGUGAGUAACCUGCCCUUGACUUUGGGAUAACUUCAGGAAACUGGGGCUAAUACCGGAUAUGAGCUCCUGCUGCAUGGUGGGGGUUGGGAAGUUUCGGCGGUUGGGGAUGGACGCGCGGCUUAUCAGCUUGUUGGUGGGGUAGUGGCUUACCAAGGCUUUGACGGGUAGCCGGCAUGAGAGGGUGACCGGCCACAUGGGGACUGCGAGACGGCCCAGACUCCUACGGGAGGCAGCAGGGGGGAAUAUUGCACAAUGGGCGGAAGCCUGAUGCAGCAACGCCGCGUGCGGGAUGACGGCCUUCGGGUUGUAAACCGCUUUCGCCUGUGACGAAGCGUGAGUGACGGUAAUGGGUAAAGAAGCACCGGCUAACUACGUG
rnacentral:rRNA from 1 species